rnacentral:rRNA from 1 species
UGGGGAAUUUUGGACAAUGGGCGCAAGCCUGAUCCAGCCAUUCCGCGUGCAGGAUGAAGGCCCUCGGGUUGUAAACUGCUUUUGUACGGAACGAAAAGGCUUUCUCUAAUACAGAGAGCUCAUGACGGUACCGUAAGAAUAAGCACCGGCUAACUACGUGCCAGCAGCCGCGGUAAUACGUAGGGUGCAAGCGUUAAUCGGAAUUACUGGGCGUAAAGCGUGCGCAGGCGGUGAUGUAAGACAGAUGUGAAAUCCCCGGGCUCAACCUGGGAACUGCAUUUGUGACUGCAUCGCUGGAGUGCGGCAGAGGGGGAUGGAAUUCCGCGUGUAGCAGUGAAAUGCGUAGAUAUGCGGAGGAACACCGAUGGCGAAGGCAAUCCCCUGGGCCUGCACUGACGCUCAUGCACGAAAGCGUGGGGAGCAAACAGGAUUAGAUACCCUGGUAGUCCACGCCCUAAACGAUGUCAACUGGUUGUUGGGUCUUCACUGACUCAGUAACGAAGCUAACGCGUGAAGUUGACCGCCUGGGGAGUACGGCCGCAAGGUUGAAACUCAAAUGAAUUGACGGGGUCAUAGCUGUUUCC